rnacentral:rRNA from 1 species
GACGAACGCUGGCGGCGUGCUUAACACAUGCAAGUCGAACGGAAAGGCCCCUUUGGGGGUACUCGAGUGGCGAACGGGUGAGUAACACGUGAGUAACCUGCCCUUGACUUCGGGAUAACUUCAGGAAACUGGGGCUAAUACCGGAUAGGAAUCCUUGCUGCAUGGUGGGGGUUGGAAAGCUUCGGCGGUUUUGGAUGGACUCGCGGCUUAUCAGCUUGUUGGUGGGGUAGUGGCUUACCAAGGCUUUGACGGGUAGCCGGCCUGAGAGGGCGACCGGCCACAGUGGGACUGAGAUACGGCCCAGACUCCGACGGGAGGCAGCAGGGGGGAAUAUUGCACAAUGGGCGGAAGCCUGAUGCAGCAACGCCGCGUGCGGGAUGACGGCCUUCGGGUUGUAAACCGCGUUCAGCAGGGGCGAAGCUUGUGGUGACGGUACCUGCAGAAGAAGCACCGGCUAACUACGUG